UUGAAACACCAGUUCUUGUACAAUCUCUGAAGUUAAGCAAUGUUGAGCCUAGUCAGUACCUAGAUAGGUGACCACUUGGGAAUUCCAGGUGCUGUUA